UACGAAGGGGGCUAGCGUUGCUCGGAAUCACUGGGCGUAAAGGGUGCGUAGGCGGGUCUUUAAGUCAGGGGUGAAAUCCUGGAGCUCAACUCCAGAACUGCCUUUGAUACUGAAGAUCUUGAGUUCGGGAGAGGUGAGUGGAACUGCGAGUGUAGAGGUGAAAUUCGUAGAUAUUCGCAAGAACACCAGUGGCGAAGGCGGCUCACUGGCCCAUAACUGACGCUGAGGCACGAAAGCGUGGGGAGCAAACAGGG
rnacentral:rRNA from 1 species